UUAUGUCAUUUGAGAAAUUAUGAUUUUUACAAAUUUGCGCAGCAUUUUACGUCCUCGUUGGACGUUUCCCAUGCUCUGAAAGUAAAGUGGAAGAUCCGCCAGACUGCAGCAGCGACAGCUGGCGGGACUAGGACAGUAUGGCUUCCUCAUCGUCUGUGGGGUCCAAUAACCAGGGUGACAGCUUUGGUGAGCAUUAGGGAGUCUUCUGCUGUUGAAGAUAGGCCAACACCUCCACAUUGCCACUAAAACCAGGCUGGGGAGAGUCUUUCAGCCCAACGUCAAAUCUGCAAUUCCAAAGCCGCAUCCUAGUUAUCACAUCUCCAUGUACAGUAGAAGAAGCUCUCUCAUCAGGAGAAAGCAGCCCCUAUUUCAGUUGAGAGCUGUGGAAAAUAAAGAAGUAGGUCUCACCAAAGACCCAUAAACUGCCAACAGAAAUAGAGUUGCAAGACGGAGAGGAAAUGAGCAAGGAUCCAUCUUCAACGCACCGCAGAGAAACAGCUGUUACAGUGGAGGAGUGCUCAUCUCUUCUUCACCUUCACAGUCCCAGGAUGUUUGUUGAACCACAGCACAGAUGGGACACAUUGAUGACUAAGCUUAAAAUUAGCAGCUAAAAUAAAA